GGUGAGAUGGCCGAGCGGUCUAAGGCGCCAGACUAAGGAUCAGCUUCAGUGUGAAGCAACAUUUACUCAGUAGUGGGUAAUCUGGUCCUCCGGGGCGUGGGUUCGAAUCCCACUCUCAUCA